rnacentral:rRNA from 1 species
GGUGAACGCUGGCGGCGUGCUUAACACAUGCAAGUCGAACGAAGCACUUUAUUUUAUUUCCUUCGGGACUGAUUAUUUUGUGACUGAGUGGCGGACGGGUGAGUAACGCGUGGGUAACCUGCCUUGUACAGGGGGAUAACCGUUGGAAACGGCUGCUAAUACCGCAUAAGCGCACAGCAUCGCAUGAUGCAGUGUGAAAAACUGCGGUGGUAUAAGAUGGACCCGCGUUGGAUUAGCUAGGUGGUGGGGUUACGGCCCACCAAGACGACGAUCCAUAGCCGACCUGGGAGCGUGACCGGCCACCAUGGGACUGAGACACGGCCCAAACUCCUACGGGAGGCAGCAGUGGGGAAUAUUGCACAAUGGGCGAAAGCCUGAUGCAGCGACGCCGCGUGAACGAAGAAGUAUUUCGGGAUGUAAAGCUCUAUCAGCAGGGAAGAUAAUGACGUUACCUGACGAAGAAGGACCGGCUAAGUACGUG